rnacentral:rRNA from 1 species
UACGUAGGGGGCAAGCGUUGUCCGGAUUUACUGGGCGUAAAGCGCGCGUAGGCGGAACGAUCAGUCCGGUCUGAAAGCCCCCGGCUCAACCGGGGAGGGUGGCUGGAAACUGUCGUUCUUGAGGGCGAGAGAGGAGGGUGGAAUUCCCGGUGUAGCGGUGAAAUGCGUAGAGAUCAGGAGGAACACCCGUGGCGAAGGCGGCCCUCUGGCUCGACCCUGACGCUGAGGCGCGAAGGUCAGGGGAGCAAACGGG